AAGAUAAAGGAAAAGCCCCAAAACACACUCUCGCUUCGCAAUUCAUAUUCUGCGACCAUGGAAGCCACUCUCUUCAGCUUCCCUUACUCCAAACCCCCAUCACCCUCCCUAACCCAAACCCACCCCGAAUCCCUCCUGACCCGACCCUCCACCAACCCAUUUCUCUCCCUCACCUCCCGCCCCGCCUGCCGCCACCACCACCACCACCGCCUCCCCACCAUCCGCUCCGCCAUCUCCCGCACCAAAAAGGAACAGACCGUCGAAACCAUCAAGGAAAAUCUCGAAAACUGCCACCUCAUGGCCGGUAUCCGCUACAAGGGCCUCACCGUAAAGCAAUUCCAGGACCUCCGGAAGGUCCUGCCGGAGACCACCAAGCUCAUUGUGGCGAAGAACACGCUGGUCUACAAGGCAAUCGAGGGGACGCCGUGGGAGGUGCUCAAGCCGUGCAUGACGGGGAUGAACGCCUGGCUCUUCGUCCACAGCGAGGAAAUCCCGCCGGCGAUCAAGCCCUACAGGGAUUUCCAGAAGGAGAAAAAGCUCGACAGCAACGACUUCACCGGGGCGGUUUUCGAAGGGAAAUUUUACGGGCCUGGGGACUUUAAGCAGCUCGAGACAAUGCCAACGAGGGCAGAGAUUUACGCUAAGUUGCUUGGGACGUUGAAUAGUCCGGCCUCAAGCUUGGUGGGGACGAUUCAGGCGCCGGCGAGGGAGUUGAUCAUGCUUUUGAAGGCUUAUGUGCAGAAAUUGGAGGAAGAAGGCGGCGGCGGUCAAUAGUGGUCUGGUAAAAGGAGAGGCUUUUGAGGCUGUCUAACAAGGUCCCAAACCUGAGUUACUCUAUGAGAUUGUCAACUCCAGCAAAUGUGGAAGCCAUUAAAGAGGUCUUUGUGGUGAAGUUGCUAGCCUCGAGGUAAUAAAUUGGUUAUGCCUUUCCCGGUGCCUCACCCAAACUUCUGCAGAAGCUGCUUCUUCAGAAUAUGCAAAAUUUUUAAUGACAUUCAUUGCUUGCAUGUAGUAUGCAGUGGACAUACCAACUUCUUAAUACUUCCCGGAUCCCUGAAACAAUUAACGGAAUGGUCGGAGCUCUGCUGAGAAUAGUAGUUACUAUAAUUGGCGGGGGAAUAGUUUGUAGAAACAGAUCUUCGGAAGCUACAAAUGGUGGUUAAAUGAACCAGGGUAAGGGGCACUACAGAAGAUGGAUCCUGUGAUUCAGGGCCAGUAGACAACCAUGCUGGACAUGCCCAAGUAACGAGAUCCCAAUUGUCCUCGCAAACAGUAGCAAUAUCGCAUCUGUUUCACCAGUUCCUUCUGCUGCACCUAUUUGUGAGGAGAUUUUGAUCAAAGGGCCAAUCACUGGUUUCAGUCUGGUAGACGGAGGUGAUUCUUCCUCCUCCAGCAUAUGUCGCAAACUCAAACAGUAAGUGACACGGUUUUUAGAUGUCUAAAGUAGGAAAGGCAGCGACUGUUUUUCGAGGAAAUUGCAACAUUGCAUUGUAGCAAUUUGUAGGAUUUUUAACAAUCAUUUGCAAGUUUGUCCAACAGAAAGAAGUUUGGUUUACAGUU